AAAAAAAGGAAGUUUUCUCUCAAACUCUCUCCCCUUUUGCGAUUUUUGGUAAUCGGAUCGGCCAUCGGCCGCUGCGACGGCCCCCCGUGGCCGGAAAAAUAAAAAAUUUCCCUUUUUCGAGGAUUGAAAAAAAUAGGUGGCGGUGGCAAGUUGAAGGCGGUGCUGACAAGCGAUGGUAGGAUAGGCAAAGGCUAGGGGCAACGCGCCCAAGGUUUCAGAAACCCUAGUGCUUCUGAAUCAGUUUAGGUUCUGGGCCUCUAUUGGGCCAUUAGGAAUUUGGGUUGAUGGUUUAAUUUUUGGGGCUAUAAUGGGACUGUGAACCUGAAUUUAUUUUGAUUUAUAUUUAUGGGCCCUAGGCAGAAUUCGCCAACAACAUUAUUAAUUAAUUUUAUGUAAACUAGAUUAUUUAACUCCA